UGCUCCUCCUAAUUUGCAUUACAUAUAGCAACACAAGGAAAGAAAAUUACUUCACAACAGAUGAUUUUUCAGCACCCUCUCUCGUCAAUGGAGAUGGUAUAUCCAAAACCGAUAGAGACACAAGGUUACAAUACGGUAACAACAAAUGAGCAUUUAGCUUUGAGGAUGAUGAUAAUUAUUUUACCUGCGGCUGUGAUUUUCUUGAUUAAGGAGUCGUUACUACGUCGACACUUAAUAUGGCCAUGUUUCGGUAAACUUGACUGUAAGGGGUUGGAUAUGUUGAAUUGUUUAGAAGGAAAUGAGACGUAGAAAAGAAAGAAAGCGCAUGGCGAUAUAAGACAAGGUUCCAAUAGCUUGGCUCAGAAACAAGGAUUUUGGGGAAGCUAGUGUCACACAACCUGUUUUGAAGUCUUGUAUCAUGUCUGAAGCUGUGGAUACAAUACCCAUAACGACACCACAUGCUGCUAAACCUGUGGUGAGUAAGAAUCUACCCAAACGCUAAUAACCAAGACGACCAAUUUUUCAUAGGUAGAUGCAUAAGAAUAAUCAGUCAUUCCAUAUCUAUAUUCAUUGCAAAAUACUAUUGUUGGUGCAAUGAUGUGAAAUCCAGCUAUGUAAUACCACUUCAACUGAUAAAAAUGUGGAGAUAAUGAUGAUUGAGAUGAAUGAAAUGAUGACAUAGUCAAAGAUUCCAAACCAGGAGGAGAUUUGAUCCUUGAAGAACAUUUCAAUUUUUAGCUUAUUGUUGAUGUAACCUACUUGAGCGAGAUGAGCAUUUGAUUCAUUGGAUUGUACUCUUUUAUCUCUUUCUUUCCACUAGUUGUACAAACAUAUAAGAGUAUGGCGCUAGAAACUUUCAUAAAGUCGUAUAAGCCAUCACCAAGAACCAUCUCCACUGGUAUGAAAAUCUGUUAUUCAAAGAAUAUAUAAUUAUGCAACUAAAGAAUGUGUCAAUAAAGAUUUAUUACAUCA